UCAUAAAAUGUGCAAUUUGGGGUCCCUCUUAAAGAGAUCUUCCUUCUGAGGUCACCUAUCAGGUGGGGACCAAGUGGACUUGAGCAGGUGGGACAUCCUCUGGGCCUCACACUCCUGGCCUGGCUGUGGGGGAUGGUUGUUGGGUGCCUGAGCCUUUUAGGAGAGCCAGAGAGUGCCAUCCCACCAUGAGUGAGGUCUUACAGGGUGGGGAUCCUGGAAUGAUGGCCGGUGGUCCAGGCUGGAGAGUCCUAUCCCACCAUGAUGGGUGGGAUCUUACAGGGUGGAGAUCCUGGAGGGGAGAACUGUGUUCUGCUGUGGAGGCCCCUGGAGAGGGGAGACAAUGGUUGGGAAUGGAGAGAACACUGCCCUGGAGCAGCGUAUGUUCAGAGAAGUGCACCCCUAGGAGAGGCAGGAUGUGGGUUCCUUGGCCACCUGUGAAAAACAGGAAGCCUGGCCUCCACAGCAUCAACCUGUAGGCCCUGCUGGGUGAACUUGGCCUGCAGGAGCUGUUGGUCUGGGCUGGCUCCCCAUGGUGGUGGCCCAGUAUCAUGAGGUCCUGACAAGUUCACAGACAAGAUACCAUAACUGCCAGCAGAGGGAAAAAGCUAACUGUGUGAUGACUAGACCACAGCCAUGAAAGGAUCUGCUCCAACUCGAGCCAUACAGAAUCUAUGUGUGUAUGUUGGUUGUUCAGUCGUGGCCGAUUCUUGGCAACCCCAUAGACUGUAGCCUGCCAGGCUCCUCUGUCCAUGGGAUUCUCCAGGCAAGAAUACUGGAGUGGGUUGCCAUUCCCUUCUCCAGGGCAUCUUCCCGACCCAGACAAAAAGAACUAAGAAUGAAGAACUGAGGAGUUAAAAGAUGACCAGCUCUCACAAUCCUGCAGGCAGAUCACAAAGGCAAGAUAACAUCGGAAGACAGAGAAAGCCAAUGCACGCAAAGGAGAAUGAUGUGGCACCCAACUUCCUGUCUCAGUGAUUCACUGAGAUUCUUUCCCUUUUUUCCCCUUUAAAAACUGUCAUGACUGAUUGGCUAUACCCCAGUACAAAAUAUGUUUGGUGUUAAAAAAAAAUAAUAAUGAUAAUAAAAAAUAAAAACCGUCUUUUCUGA